AUUGAACGCUGGCGGCAGGCCUAACACAUGCAAGUCGAGCGGAUGAGUGGAGCUUGCUCCAUGAUUCAGCGGCGGACGGGUGAGUAAUGCCUAGGAAUCUGCCUGGUAGUGGGGGACAACGUUUCAAAAGGAACGCUAAUACCGCCUACGUCCUACGGGAGAAAGGGGGGGAUCUUCGGACCUCACGCUAUCAGAUGAGCCUAGGUCGGAUUAGCUAGUUGGGGAGGUAAAGGCUCACCAAGGCGACGAUCUGUAACUGGUCUGAGAGGAUGAUCAGUCACACUGGAACUGAGACACGGUCCAGACUCCUACGGGAGGCAGCAGUGGGGAAUAUUGGACAAUGGGCGAAAGCCUGAUCCAGCCAUGCCGCGUGUGUGAAGAAGGUCUUCGGAUUGUAAAGCACUUUAAGUUGGGAGGAAGGGCAGUAAGUUAAUACCUUGCUGUUUUGACGUUACCAACAGAAUAAGCACCGGCUAACUUCGUGCCAGCAGCCGCCGCAGUAA
rnacentral:rRNA from 1 species